rnacentral:rRNA from 1 species
UACGUAGGGUGCGAGCGUUUGUCCGGAAUUACUGGGCGUAAAGAGCUCGUAGGUGGUUUGUCGCGUUGUUCGUGAAAACUCACAGCUUAACUGUGGGCGUGCGGGCGAUACGGGCAGACUGGAGUACUGCAGGGGAGACUGGAAUUCCUGGUGUAGCGGUGGAAUGCGCAGAUAUCAGGAGGAACACCGGUGGCGAAGGCGGGUCUCUGGGCAGUAACUGACGCUGAGGAGCGAAAGCGUGGGGAGCGAACAGG